rnacentral:rRNA from 1 species
UGGGGAAUCUUCCGCAAUGGACGAAAGUCUGACGGAGCAACGCCGCGUGAGUGAUGACGGCCUUCGGGUUGUAAAGCUCUGUUAAUCGGGACGAAUGGUUCUUGUGCAAAUAGUGCGAGGAUUUGACGGUACCGGAAUAGAAAGCCACGGCUAACUAUGUGCCAGCAGCCGCGGUAAUACGUAGGUGGCAAGCGUUGUCCGGAAUUAUUGGGCGUAAAGCGCGCGCAGGCGGAUUGGUCAGUCUGUCUUAAAAGUUCGGGGCUUAACCCCGUGAUGGGAUGGAAACUGCCAAUCUAGAGUAUCGGAGAGGAAAGUGGAAUUCCUAGUGUAGCGGUGAAAUGCGUAGAUAUUAGGAAGAACACCAGUGGCGAAGGCGACUUUCUGGACGAAAACUGACGCUGAGGCGCGAAAGCCAGGGGAGCGAACGGG